UACAGGGGGUGCAAACGUUGCUCGGAAUCAUUGGGCGUAAAGCGCACGUAGGCGGUCUGUUAUGUCGGAUGUGAAAGCCCUUGGCUUAACUGAGGAAGUGCAUCCGAAACUGGCAGGCUAGAGUACUAAAGAGGGUCGCGGAAUUCCCGGUGUAGAGGUGAAAUUCGUAGAUAUCGGGAGGAACACCGGUGGCGAAGGCGGCGACCUGGGUAGAUACUGACGCUGAGGUGCGAAAGCCAGGGGAGCGAACGGG
rnacentral:rRNA from 1 species